GUUGAUUAUAAUCUUCCAUUUUAUGAUAAGGCACAAAAUGGGUCCUACAAAGUGGACAUGUUUUCUGAUCAUGAUCAAUCCAACGGUCCACACACGUCCGAUGAAACAUAUGUCUACAGUUCGCCAUACAUCUGAUCUCUUCUUCUCCGGCGAAUUCGUUUAAACACACAGCACAACCCACCGGCGGUGAAGAAUCUCCUUCGGCGAGGUCAUUGAAAGUGAUGAUUGGGAGAAACUGACGGAUGAGGAUUGCAGAGAGAGUGGGACGGUGGAUGUGGGAGUCAGGUAGGGUGGUGGUGGAGAAGUCGGUGUCGAGGAGGUCGGAGAGAUGGAGGAGAGAGAGGAAGGAGAUGGUGAGAGAACGGAGGAAGGAGAGGAGAGAGAGAGUGUAGAGAAAGAUGUUAGGGACGGAGACUUCAGGGUACCCUACGGGGAAUCCCAUUGUUGAAUUCUAGAGAGAGAAAGAAGGAGAAGGAGUGAAGGAAGGUUUUUGUUUGGUGUGUGGUGUUUGGAGAAAGGGAGGUAUAUAUAUUGGAGUUAGAGGCCGGUGGAGUGGAACAAAAUAUGUGAUAGUGAUAGAAAUUGGACCAAAUUUUUCAAUAUUUUUCAAAUUAUUUCUAUGAGUCAAUCAAUCAAUCAAUCAUCUUCUAAACUUGUGGUCAUUAUGGACAAACAAUGAAGAUAUUGAGUUUUUAAGGACGGAAAAGAAAAUUUCAGUAUGAAAUCAAAAUUAGUUCAUAAAUACUCAUCU
rnacentral:lncRNA from 1 species